AAUGAGCGCUGGCGGCGUGCUUAACGCAUGCAAGUCGAGCGAAGCAGUUAAGUUGAUUUCUUCGGAUUGAUUCUUGACUGACUGAGCGGCGGACGGGUGAGUAACGCGUGGGUGACCUGCCCCAUACCGGGGGAUAACAGCUGGAAACGGCUGCUAAUACCGCAUAAGCGCACAGAGCUGCAUGGCUCGGUGUGAAAAACUCCGGUGGUAUGGGAUGGGCCCGCGUCUGAUUAGGUAGUUGGCGGGGUAACGGCCCACCAAACCGACGAUCAGUAGCCGGCCUGAGAGGGCGACCGGCCACAUUGGGACUGAGAAACGGCCCAAACUCCUACGGGAGGCAGCAGUGGGGAAUAUUGCACAAUGGGGGAAACCCUGAUGCAGCGACGCCGCGUGAGCGAAGAAGUAUUUCGGUAUGUAAAGCUCUAUCAGCAGGGAAGAUAAUGACGGUACCUGACUAAGAAGCCCCGGCUAGCUACGUGCCAGCAGCCGCCGUAA
rnacentral:rRNA from 1 species